rnacentral:rRNA from 1 species
UACGAAGGGUGCAAACGUUGCUCGGAAUUAUUGGGCGUAAAGCGCACGUAGGCGGCAUUGCAAGUCGGAUGUGAAUCCCUCGGCUCAACCAAGGAAGUGCAUCCGAAACUGCUGUGCUUGAGUACUUAAGAGGAUCGCGGAAUUCCCGGUGUAGAGGUGAAAUUCGUAGAUAUCGGAGGAACACCCGUGGCGAAGGCGGGUCUCUGGGACGGUACUGACGCUGAGACGCGAAAGCGUGGGGAGCGAACAGG